rnacentral:rRNA from 1 species
GACGAACGCUGGCGGCGUGCUUAACACAUGCAAGUCGAACGAGUGGCGAACGGGUGAGUAAUGUCUGGGAAACUGCCCGAUGGGGGGGGAUAACUACUGGGAACGGUAGCUAAUACCGCCAACCCUAGAAUGUGCCCAGUGGGGAUUAGCUAGUAGGGGGGGUAAAGGCUCACCUAGGCGACGAUCCCUAACUGGUCGGAGAGGCUGACCAGCCAAACGGGACCUUGGACACGGUCCAGACCCCUACGGGAGGCAGCAGUGGGGAAUAUUGCACAAUGGGCGCAAUCCUGAGGCAGCAAGGCCGCGGGUGUGAAGAAGGCCUCCGGUUUGUAAAGCAUGUUCAGCGGGACGGCGUUACCGGCAGAGGAAGCACCGGCUAACUCCGUGCCAGCAGCCGCGGUAAUAC